rnacentral:tRNA from 1 species
GAGGGCAUAGCUCAGUGGUAGAGCUCAUGCUUAGCAUGCAUGAUGUCCUGGGUUCAAUCCCCAGUACCUCCA